UCUGAACUCACCGAACAGCAGCUCCCAGGCGCACUUCCUCCUGAAUGUACACCCAACAUAGAUGGACCAAAUGCUAAAUCUGUUCAGAGGGAGCAAAGCUUACAUUCAUUUCAUAUGCUUUUCUGUAGGCGAUGUUUUAAAUAUGACUGCUUCCUACAUCCUUUUCAUGCAACACCUAACACUUAUAAGCGGAAGAACACGGAAGUAGCUCUAGACAACAAACCUUGUGGACCACAGUGUUACCAGGAUUUAGAGGGAGCAAAGGAGUUUGCUGCUGCCCUCACCGCUGAGCGGAUAAAGACCCCACCAAAACGCCCAGGAGGCCGCAGAAGAGGACGGCUUCCCAAUAACAGCAGCAGACCUAGCACCCCCACCAUUAAUGUGCUGGAGUCCAAGGAUACAGACAGUGAUAGGGAAGCAGGGACUGAAACAGGGGGUGAGAACAAUGAUAAAGAAGAAGAAGAGAAAAAAGAUGAAACCUCGAGCUCCUCUGAAGCAAAUUCUCGGUGUCAAACACCAAUAAAGAUGAAGCCAAAUAUUGAGCCUCCCGAGAAUGUGGAGUGGAGUGGCGCUGAAGCUUCGAUGUUUAGAGUCCUCAUUGGCACUUACUAUGACAAUUUCUGUGCCAUUGCUAAGCUGAUUGGGACCAAAACAUGUAGACAGGUGUAUGAGUUUAGAGUGAAAGAGUCUAGCAUCAUCGCUCCAGCUCCUGCUGAGGAUGUUGAUACUCCUCCACGAAAAAAGAAAAGGAAACACCGGUUAUGGGCUUCACACUGUAGAAAGAUACAACUGAAAAAGGAUGGCUCCUCUAACCAUGUUUACAACUAUCAACCAUGUGAUCAUCCACGGCAGCCUUGUGACAGUUCGUGCCCUUGUGUGAUAGCACAAAAUUUUUGUGAGAAGUUUUGUCAGUGUAGUUCGGAGUGUCAAAACCGCUUUCCUGGAUGCCGUUGCAAAGCACAGUGCAACACCAAGCAGUGCCCGUGCUAUCUGGCUGUCCGAGAGUGUGACCCUGACCUCUGUCUAACUUGUGGAGCUGCUGACCAUUGGGACAGUAAAAACGUGUCCUGCAAGAACUGCAGUAUUCAGCGGGGCUCCAAAAAGCAUUUAUUGCUGGCACCAUCUGAUGUGGCAGGCUGGGGGAUUUUUAUCAAAGAUCCUGUACAGAAAAAUGAAUUCAUCUCAGAAUACUGUGGAGAGAUUAUUUCUCAAGAUGAAGCUGACAGAAGAGGGAAAGUGUAUGAUAAAUACAUGUGCAGUUUUUUGUUCAACUUGAACAAUGAUUUUGUGGUGGACGCAACCCACAGGGUAACAAAAUUCGUUUUGCGAAUCAUUCAGUAAAUCCAAACUGCUAUGCAAAAGUUAUAAUGGUUAAUGGCGAUCACAGGAUAGGUAUUUUUGCUAAGAGAGCCAUCCAGACUGGUGAAGAGCUGUUUUUUGAUUACAGAUACAGCCAGGCGGAUGCCCUGAAGUAUGUCGGCAUCGAAAGAGAAAUGGAAAUCCCUUGACAUCUGCUACCUCCUCCCCUCCUCUCUGAAACAAACAGCUGCCUUAGAUUCAGGAACCUCGAGUACUGUGGGCAAUUUAGGAAAAGAAAAUGCAGUUUGAAAUUCAGAAUUUGCAAAGUACUGUAAGAAUAAUUUAUAGUAAUGAGUUUAAAAAUCAACUUUUUAUUGCCUUCUCACCAGCUGCAAAGUGUUUUGUACCAGUGAAUUUUUGCAAUAAUGCAGCAUGGUACAUUUUUCAACUUUGAAUAAAGAAUACUUGAAC